UCCUUCUCCUGUUUUGUUAAUCUUUUCAACGGGCAUUGCUCCCUUUGCAAAUAAGGAGACCUAAGCUUUCUUGAUUUUAGCCAAAGAUCAGUCUUCACAGUGUUACGAUUAAUAGUUCCACAAUCAACAGGUAUUUCAGCGACAAUCUUCAAUGAAACAUGGUAACAGUAGAAAGCCAAAUUAAAUUUCAGAAACAUACAGAAAUAUAUACGCUGAGUUUCACAUAGUACUCAGCCCACAUCAUAAGUAUCACAUACAUUAUCAUCAAUUCUGCACAAUGGCAAAAGUAGAACGUCGGAUAAACUUAGCGCUUCGCCCAUGACCUGGUUCACAAAAAAAUAAGUGUGAUACAACCAUAUCGAACUAUUUUGCUAGACCGCCUAACAUACUUAUACUUUACCCUGUCCGGCACCUGUUCAUCACCCAUUGACACAGUCUCUUGCUCAACUUUUUCCUUACGCACCAC
rnacentral:lncRNA from 1 species